GACGAACGCUGGCGGCGUGCUUAACACAUGCAAGUCGAACGAGGUCCAAGGUGUAGCAAUACAUCUGAAGACCUAGUGGCGAACGGGUGCGUAACACGUGAGGAACUUGUCCCGGUCUCUGGGAUAACAGUUGGAAACGACUGCUAAUACCGGAUGACGUCGGAGCAUCGCAUGGUGCGCUGACGAAAGGGUUACUGGAUCGGGAGAGCCUCGCGGCCUANCAGCUUGUUGGUGGGGUAACGGCCCACCAAGGCAUCGACGGGUAGCUGGUCUGAGAGGAUGAUCAGCCACACUGGGACUGAGACACGGCCCAGACUCCUACGGGAGGCAGCAGUGGGGAAUCUUGCGCAAUGGGCGAAAGCCUGACGCAGCAACGCCGCGUGCGGGAUGAAGGCUC
rnacentral:rRNA from 1 species